rnacentral:rRNA from 1 species
UACGUAGGGUGCAAGCGUUGUCCGGAAUUAUUGGGCGUAAAGAGCUUGUAGGCGGUUUGUCGCGUCUGCUGUGAAAUUUCGGGGCUCAACCCCGAACUUGCAGUGGGUACGGGCAGACUAGAGUGUGGUAGGGGAGAGUGGAAUUCCUGGUGUAGCGGUGAAAUGCGCAGAUAUCAGGAGGAACACCGAUGGCGAAGGCAGGUCUCUGGGCCGCUACUGACGCUGAGAAGCGAAAGCAUGGGGAGCGAACAGG